UUGCGUAGAAGGUUAAAGGUUUGUCGCCUAUUAAUUAGACUUGGUCAAGACAUUAUCGGCCUUCGAAGUCCACUACUAACGUGACAAAGAUCAUACGAAAAGAGAUGACGACGCUUUCUUCAAGAUAAUUCAUUUUGGGAGGUUUAAGCACUCUAGGCUAAACUUAAAAGUAUUCGCAUCGAUCAAAGCCUCUUGCAUUUUACCGAGUGAUGGAGUUGCGAACAAGCCUGUCAAUCUUUUUGAAGGUAAUCAAGACCGGGGUGGAGAUCGAGUUGUGCAGUCUGUUAUUCCGCUCCCACCAGAUAGAAUAAAUGGUCGCUUGAGCCGCAAGCCGGCGAAGCGUGAUCGGGCAAACAUUGUUUUUGUGUCCAAGCCACUCCGUAAAAGCCAUCCAAGUAUGAAACCAGAAGGGGUUAUAGCCCAGUCUUCGAAGCACUAGCAGCUAAAGGUUUUCAUUGAUCUCACACCGCAGGAAGAGAUGGUCUCUUGAUUCCAAGUACACAUUGCAAACACAACAUGCAUCAAGUGUGUUUACAGCCCAUAUGGAAGUGCGUUCCCUUGUGGGAAGACGGUUAAGAUGCGUCAUCCACAUCAUGAAAGCUUGACUAGGUAUAGCACCUUUAAACCAAAUGUUUUUAGUCCAUGACUGCGGUUCUCUUCUGUUGCGGAUAGCUUCCCAGGUUGACUUCGAUGAGAAAGCCUCUACAACCUCAUUAUCUACUUCCCACACAUAAGCAUCAGAGGUAGUAGAGGUAGAAGGGAGAGGUACCGUGCAUAGAUGAAGCUGGAGAGCUUCUGCUGCAGGUGAUCUGGCAUGUCUGAGCCUCCAUCCUAUAUCUGUACAGGCUUCAGCAACUGACGAGUGAAGUGGGAUUCCUAAUGCCCGAGGGCCCGAGUGGCCGAGGACGUUGAUGAGAGGUCCCAAUGGAGUCCAUUGGUCAUACCAGAAGCUAGCUGAGCGACCAUUCCCAACGUUGCAUCUAAGAAACCGAACAGCAAGGAAGCCCACAAGGACUCAUUCUCUUGGAACAGGAACCAGAUGAGCUUCAGGUUCAGAGUUUUGUUCCAUAAGAUGAGAUCCUUCAGUCCCAACCCUCCUUCGGCUUUUGGAAGGCAACAGUUUGCCCACGAUAUCCUUGCUGACGCUCUAGUUGUAAUGUUUCCAUCCCUCAGUCCCAACCCUCUUUCGGUUUUUGCCAAAACUUUGUUUUCCAAUAUCUAUUUUUAACUAAAAAUAGAUACUGCAGGGUUACGCUUGAUACCAUAUCAUUGUUAGAUCGUGUUGAUUCCAUAUCUAUGAUCUCGUGGAAAUGUGAAUUAGCUUUUCUUUCAUUCAAUUUCUAAUUUCUAAGUGUUUAUUUCCAGUCUGUCUUUGCUAGUUAUAAAGAACGUGCAGUUCGUUUUAUGGAACUUCCUGGUGAAAUACCAAACAGGCAAGUGCUAAUCACCUUAUAUGAAAGAAAUCACAAAGCGUAACCCUACAGUACCAGUCAUACAAAUCUCUUAGUUGGAAGUAUAUUAAUAAAAAUUACCUUAGAUGACAAGAUAAAAUAAAAAUUUGUAGAGAUCAUUUUGAACACAUAUUUUGGUAAAAUAAUUAUAUAUAUAUAUAUAUGUAAUAAAGCUUAAACCGUACAAUCAUGGAAAUAAUAAUCAGUCUUUAAUUAUAAUGUUUCAUGAGAUGAAUAACACCUCAAUGAAGAAGAACAAGCAUAUCAAUAUAUCAUCUUAUCACUUUUAAUAAAAAAGGUAACAGUUAUAUAUUUAUAUCUUUUGCGUUUGUCUCUGCCAAUUUUAAAAGCUCAUUAGAAUGACUCAUGCAAUAUAUCUUACUGGGCUGUGAGGCCAACAGGAAAUCCAACCCAACUCAAGAAGCAGACUACAUUGUUAAAGCUGGGUUCUAUUCACUAACCAGAAUACCAGAUGAUGGCAAUUGGCAAGCUUGCACUUUGAUGGGAAGAGUACAAAUAUAACUAUGAUGGGAAAAUAGAUUACACUCUUUGGAAAUGUUGAGAUUUAUAAGAUGAUGUCCAAAUAUAUUUCUACCGAUUAGUAUAAUAUUGUCCGCUUUAA